GGAAUUCAUGUUCUGUGGCUGAUUUUUGUGAUAGAGAAGAAAAUGGGGUGUUGUCGUUUGGUUGUAGCAGCACGAUGGGGAAAGGCCCCUGUUUUGCAGCGGUCAGAUUUUUCCAGCUCUAUUCUUUGAUUUUUAGGUGUUCUUUUUUUUGUGUCUAUUUACCGUAGAGUCUAGGUUUAGGUUUAUUUUUUAUGUAUUUUAUCAAUUAGUACUUAGGUCUUUUUGUGUUAUGUACUUAGGAUCCUUUUUAUUUGUUUUCGUUCCUGAGAAAAGUCUAGAAGGGCCCCUAAAUUUAAUGGACUAAUCCGAAUUGGGCCAACAAUUGGGCUCUAAAAUUUAGAUCCAACACCUUAAUUGACUUAUUUUAAAAUUAUAUACAAUUAUAAUAUAAAAAUAUGAAACUAAUUUUAUGAUUAAAC
rnacentral:lncRNA from 1 species